rnacentral:rRNA from 1 species
GAUGAACGCUGGCGGCGUGCCUAAUACAUGCAAGUCGAGCGAACAGACGAGGAGCUUGCUCCUCUGACGUUAGCGGCGGACGGGUGAGUAACACGUGGAUAACCUACCUAUAAGACUGGGAUAACUUCGGGAAACCGGAGCUAAUACCGGAUAACAUGUUGAACCGCAUGGUUCAACAGUGAAAGACGGUCUUGCUGUCACUUAUAGAUGGAUCCGCGCCGCAUUAGCUAGUUGGUAAGGUAACGGCUUACCAAGGCAACGAUGCGUAGCCGACCUGAGAGGGUGAUCGGCCACACUGGAACUGAGACACGGUCCAGACUCCUACGGGAGGUAGCAGUAGGGAAUCUUCCGCAAUGGGCGAAAGCCUGACGGAACAACGCCGCGUGAGUGAAGAAGGUCUUCGGAUCGUAAAACUCUGUUAUUAGGGAAGAACAAAUGUGUAAGUAACUAUGCACGUCUUGACGGUACCUAAUCAGAAAGCCACGGCUAACUACGUG